CGGCGGACGGGUGAGUAACACGUGGAUAACCUACCUAUAAGACUGGGAUAACUUCGGGAAACCGGAGCUAAUACCGGAUAAUAUAUUGAACCGCAUGGUUCAAUAGUGAAAGACGGUUUUGCUGUCACUUAUAGAUGGAUUCGCGCCGCAUUAGCUAGUUGGUAAGGUAACGGCUUACCAAGGCAACGAUGCGUAGCCGACCUGAGAGGGUGAUCGGCCACACUGGAACUGAGACACGGUCCAG
rnacentral:rRNA from 1 species